rnacentral:rRNA from 1 species
GAUGAACGCUGACGGCGUGCCUAAUACAUGCAAGUCGAGCGAACGGACGAGAAGCUUGCUUCUCUGAUGUUAGCGGCGGACGGGUGAGUAACACGUGGAUAACCUACCUAUAAGACUGGGAUAACUUCGGGAAACCGGAGCUAAUACCGGAUAAUAUUUUGAACCGCAUGGUUCAAAAGUGAAAGACGGUCUUGCUGUCACUUAUAGAUGGAUCCGCGCUGCAUUAGCUAGUUGGUAAGGUAACGGCUUACCAAGGCAACGAUGCAUAGCCGACCUGAGAGGGGGACGGGCCACCCGGGAACGGAGACACGGUCCAGACCCCUACGGGGGGCAGCAGUGGGGAAUUUUCCGCAAGGGGCGAAAGCCUGACGGAGCAACGCCGGGGGGGUGAAGAAGGGCUUCGGAUCGUAAAACCCUGUUAUUAGGGAAGAAAAGUUGUGUAAGUAACGGUGCACAUCUUGACGGUACCAAAUCAGAAAGCCCCGGCUAACUACGU